rnacentral:lncRNA from 1 species
CUGGGAAAUUGGUCUUUAACCAUAACUGGUUAUGAGACAAAGGGGUGACAAGCUUUGGACCCCUCAGGACAAGAAUGGUAUUGAGGGGCUGGAGUGUGUCCAGGGAAGGGAACAGAGCUGGGAAGGGUCAGGAGCAGCUGAGGGAGCUGAGAGGGCUCAGCCUGGAGAAAAGGAGGCUCAGGGGAAUCUUCUGCUUGUUGGGGUGUCCUGUGCAGCUGGAGUUGGACUGAUGAUCCUUGGCGGACCUUCCAACUCAGGAUAUUCCAUGAUUCCAUGAUCUGAGUUGCAAUCCUCAGCAUUGCCCAAUUUCUUUCCCCACAAAAGUUCCCCAAAAGUCCCUCCCUGGCCUGAACACCUGGUGGGCUGUGAAAUCCUGCACUGGCUUCUUUAGGGAUGGUGUGUUUAGGGAAAUAUCAACAACUCCCUCAAAAUGAUCUCUUAACUCAGGUUCUCAAAGCCAUCCGAGUGUCUGCCUUCAGAGAGAGGUCCUGGGAAGAGUUUUCCAGGAGGAUGUGAACACUGGAGCUUCAUCCCAGUUCUCCUCCCAUUUUCAUUAAUAUCCUUAUUGCUGUUUUUGCAGUGGCAAUGCAGAUGUUCAUGUUUAUCUGGCCAUGGGAGGACACGAGAGCAGUGUGCUCAGAGCUAUCAGCAAGAGCCUGAUCUUUCCAGCAAGCUGUUGUCAUGGUCUACAUGAAUUUAUCCAGGCAAACUGUGCAGGAGCCGGGGAUGAACCCGCAGGUUCCCGGGAGGAAUCCCCAGGGCCCAGCAGGAGGCAUUAACAGCACGUCUCUCCAGCGAGCCGUGAUGGGAAGAGAACGGAGCAAAAAAAAGGUAAAGUGCUUAAAAACAACUUGUAUUUUUAGAGCCCAGUCUCCCCCAGAAAUCUUCGCAGAUGUUGAGCUCUCCACUUCUGAUUUGCAAGGAAUAAUAGUUUGGAAGCCCAGCUGAGACUCCUGGGCUGUAAAUUUUCUGUAAUGCUUUUCUCCAGACCCAUUUGCUGUCCUGCUAAUUAAUCCAGGUAAUGGCUGGGUUGUUUUUUUUCCCUUCAGCAGCAGUUUUCCUUUUUGUUAACACGAACAGAGAGAACUGGAGAACCGAUCUCUCGAAGGAUCCUGGCUGGCAGCAAUAUCAGCAUCUGACUGAAGAGAACUCAGCCACACGCAUAAUCCUCGGGAAAAUUCAUCUCCACCCUCCGCAGACCCCGGUGAGAGCCCUUGAAGUGGUAAUUAAAGUCUAUUGAGUGGCAACUGCACCUGUUUAGAGAGGAGAGUGCGGG